UAAUACCUUCGGGGCGGGGUGUAACUCCCCACUGGUAGUAAAGCCUACGAGUCCUGAGCGAAGUCGAAGGACAUGAUUCCGAUAAUUUCGGAAGCCAACGGUAUAGUCCGGAUGAAAGAAGGUCUAU
rnacentral:ncRNA from 2 species